UAAUACGUAGGGGGCAAGCGUUGUCCGGAUUUACUGGGCGUAAAGCGCGCGUAGGCGGAACGUUAAGUCCGGUCUGAAAGCCCCCGGCUCAACCGGGGAGGGUGGCUGGAAACUGGCGUUCUUGAGGGCGAGAGAGGAGGGUGGAAUUCCUGGUGUAGCGGUGAAAUGCGUAGAGAUCAGGAGGAACACCCGUGGCGAAGGCGGCCCUCUGGCUCGACCCUGACGC
rnacentral:rRNA from 1 species